GGUGACGAGCGCCAGCACCCAAGGCCCGGCUCGCUGGCCAGCAACCCUUCGACGUGACGGGGUGCUCCGGGAACGACCUGACCCCGCCGCGCCCGCGGCGGGGUAAGCACGGCUC
rnacentral:ncRNA from 2 species